CGAACGCUGGCGGCGCGCUUAACACAUGCACGUCGAACGGAAAGGCCUGCUUUCCCUUGUGGAUUGCGGGUACUCGAGUGGCGAACGGGUGAGUAACACGUGAGUGAUCUGCCCCCAACUUGGGUAUAAGCCUGGGAAACUGGGUCUAAUUCCCGAUAGGACUGCAGGGUGGUGCCUGUGGUGGAAAACGAUUUUCUAGUGGUUGGGGAUGAGCUCGCGGCCUAUCAGCUUGUUGGUGGGGUAAUGGCCUACCAAGGCGGCGACGGGUAGCCGGCCUGAGAGGGUGGACGGCCACAUUGGGACUGAGAUACGGCCCAGACUCCUACGGGAGGCAGCAGUGGGGAAUAUGGCACAAUGGGCGGAAGCCUGAUGCAGCGACGCCGCGUGGGGGAUGACGGCCUUCGGGUUGUAAACUCCUUUCGACCGCGAGGAAGCCACCUGGUUGGAAGGGUGGUGACGGUAGUGGUAGAAGAAGCACCGGCUAACUACGUG
rnacentral:rRNA from 1 species